UACAGAGGUCUCGAGCGUUGUUCGGAUUCAUUGGGCGUAAAGGGUGCGUAGGUGGCGCGGUAAGUCGGGUGUGAAAUUUCGGAGCUCAACUCCGAAACUGCAUUCGAUACUGCCGUGCUUGAGGACUGGAGAGGAGACUGGAAUUUACGGUGUAGCAGUGAAAUGCGUAGAUAUCGUAAGGAAGACCAGUGGCGAAGGCGGGUCUCUGGACAGUUCCUGACACUGAGGCACGAAGGCCAGGGGAGCAAACGGG
rnacentral:rRNA from 1 species